rnacentral:rRNA from 1 species
UACGUAGGGCGCAAGCGUUGUCCGGAAUUAUUGGGCGUAAAGAGCUCGUAGGUGGUUCGGUAAGUCGGAUGUGAAAUCUCCAGGCUCAACCUGGAGGGGUCAUUCGAUACUGCCGUGACUAGAGUUCGGUAGGGGAGUGUGGAAUUCCUGGUGGAGCGGUGAAAUGCGCAGAUAUCGGGAGGAACACCAGUGGCGAAGGCGGGUCUCUGGGCCGUAACUGACGCUGAGGAGCGAAAGCGUGGGGAGCGAACAGG